GAACUCUUUCUUUUUUUAGUUGGUGUUUUAGUCUUCUCCUCUCUCUUCCCCCUGCAUUCUCCCUGUAAAGCGCCUGUGCAGGCCCUGGUGUUGCAUGAGCCCAGCCUCCGUGUGACAAAGUGGUGUCACUGCUGAUUGGCAUCUGGGCCUGAGAUGCUGGAGCUAAACUGCAGCUCCCGUUGUUUCUUGCAAAUGUCUGCCUCUCAGAACUGUGGAAAUUGAUGACCGAAUAGUGUUGUACGAAUAGUAGCAUCAUCUAGGUUCCAGACACUGCUUUAGGUGAUGGGGACUCAGCAAUGAAUGCAAUUGACUGCCCUUCUGGAGCUUACAUUUUAGGAGGAAAGACAGAUAAUAAAAUAAUGAAACAAGACCUGGCUUAUGUUUUUAAAGGGCUGUAUUGAGGAGAAUACACCAUAGAGGCCUCUUCUGUAUAAUAUCAUUUUCUCUUAACUUAAAAGGAUCUGUCUGUGGUUCCAAAGACUGGACAUAGGUACAGGUACUGUUUCCUCUCCUUGAUACAAGGGGACACAUUCAAUAAUUUCUACAGAGGGUAGAAGAAACAGUCUUGCCAUUGAUUCGUUUCUACAGUACCUACCGUGUGUGUGCACCUAACACUGUGUGGUCAGUAGAACAUUGUCUCCAAAGGAUGUGGUCCUUGCCUGUGAUGGGGAGACAGACACUCCAGCUGAGGACCCCAAUUCAGUGGAACCCCUGCUCUGAGGAGGAGUGUCUAUUCAAGGUGCAGUGGUGAGGACCAUACCCGAGGAAGCCAGGGAAGGCUUACCCAGAGAAACAGAGUGGAGCUGGACCUUGAAGGAGAUGGACCAGUGAGUGAAA